rnacentral:rRNA from 1 species
GAUGAACGCUGGCGGCGUGCCUAAUACAUGCAAGUCGAGCGAACAGACGAGGAGCUUGCACCUCUGACGUUAGCGGCGGACGGGUGAGUAACACGUGGAUAACCUACCUAUAAGACUGGGAUAACUUCGGGAAACCGGAGCUAAUACCGGAUAAUAUAUUGAACCGCAUGGUUCAAUAGUGAAAGACGGUUUUGCUGUCACUUAUAGAUGGAUCCGCGCCGCAUUAGCUAGUUGGUAAGGUAACGGCUUACCAAGGCAACGAUGCGUAGCCGACCUGAGAGGGUGAUCGGCCACACUGGAACUGAGACACGGUCCAGACCCCUACGGGAGGCAGCAGUAGGGAAUCUUCCGCAAUGGGCGAAAGCUUGACGGAGCAACGCCGCGUGAGUGAUGAAGGUCUUCGGAUCGUAAAACUCUGUUAUUAGGGAAGAACAAAUGUGUAAGUAACUAUGCACGUCUUGACGGUACCUAAUCAGAAAGCCACGGCUAACUACGUG